CCUAGAAAACCAAUUGAAGAGCCCCUGAAAGUAUUCUUCCACAGUCCCCCCGAUUCGGCACCCGAUCCCCACCCCUGUUAUUUUCCCUCCAUUAACAAACUUUUUUCAAGCAGCUCGAAUUCUUUCUACAACUCGUCGGUUUCCGUGUUCUACGUCGAAUUACAGAGGCUGGUUUCCACCUGAAAUUUGUUGCACACGGGGGGGUUUGUUCGGCGCCGAUCACUCCAAAAACCUCAGCGAAAAGCCCCCAAAAUCGUGUUGCUUUGGUCGGUCAAGUGAAAUCUUUGGCAGUUAUGAGCUACUUUUUUAUCAGGAGCUGAUUGAUGGAUCCCGAUUACAAGAAGUUUGGAAGAGGGCCAAGAGAACUUACAGGUGCUGUGGAUCUUAUAAGUCACUACAAAUUGCUGCCUCAUCAUGAUUUCUUCUGCAAGAAGCCGCUUCCCCUGUCAAUAUCAGACACUCACUAUCUUCACAACGUUGUUGGAGACACAGAAAUCAGAAAAGGGGAGGGAAUGCAAUUGAGCCAACUCAUUCAAGAUAAGCCCUUGUCUAGAGAAACUAGCACACGAAUACAGCCUUUUGACCUGGAUAUUCUGAGGGAAGCUUUUCAACUGAGGGAAACAGCUCCAGUUGAUCUUCCUCCUUCUGAGAAGGGCACUCCUACCAUUGCUGGGAAAUCCAAAAGUGAGUCCAAAGACAAGGAAAAGAAACAUAAAAAGCACAAGGACAAAGACAGAGAUAAAGAUAAAGAACACAAGAAGCACAAACAUCGGCAUAAAGAUCGAAGCAAAGACAAGGACAAGGAGAAGAAAAAAGAUAAAAGUGGCCAUCAUGAAUCUGGCAAUGACCACUCUAAAAGACAUCAUGAGAAGAAGAGAAAGCAUGAUGGAGAUGAGGAAGGCAAUGACAUUCAUAAACACAAGAAAAGUAAGCACAAGAGUUCAAAGAUAGAUGAGAUGGGGGGAAUAAAGGUAGCAGGCUGAAAAUCGGUGCUUGAUCUUUUAAUUUUGUCAUCAGAUGUUGGAGUUGAGAAUUGUGGGAUUCUUUGAUUACUAUUGUCAAAUUAUCUGAGAGCGUUGUUUGGACUUACUAAAGAUUGCCAAGAAGAUGAAUUUACUUGCUGAAGUGAAUUCAAGGUAAAAAUGUUGAAAAUGAACAUUAAGUUAACAAAGGGGGGCUCAUGCUUCUUUUAGCAAUAUACAAAUACGUUGAUUCGAUUCUUUAAUUUGUAAGGAUGUAAUUUUCGUUACUGUCAUGAUUUAUUCGUCUUCCUCCCUUCUAGAAUCAUAUAUGUUAAAAGGGUUUGAAGUAGUCUAACAGCUUGCAGCUCUGGGCUCGUUAAAUUAAUUUGGUUGAGAUAGGUGGUGAUGUCUUUUUAACCCUCGGAAGAGGAUUACCUUAUUUGUAAGGAUGUGGUAUAUGUGUAUUAUCGGAUGAUUUAACAUCAAAUAGAUGCAAAUAUUUGUACAAGGAACAAGUGAAAA